GAUGAACGCUGGCGGCGUGCCUAAUACAUGCAAGUCGAGCGAACAGACGAGGAGCUUGCUCCUCUGACGUUAGCGGCGGACGGGUGAGUAACACGUGGAUAACCUACCUAUAAGACUGGGAUAACUUCGGGAAACCGGAGCUAAUACCGGAUAAUAUAUUGAACCGCAUGGUUCAAUAGUGAAAGACGGUUUUGCUGUCACUUAUAGAUGGAUCCGCGCCGCAUUAGCUAGUUGGUAAGGUAACGGCUUACCAAGGCAACGAUGCGUAGCCGACCUGAGAGGGUGAUCGGCCACCCUGGAACUGAGACACGCUCCAGACUCCUACGGGAGGCAGCAGUAGGGAAUCUUCCGCAAUGGGCGAAAGCCUGACGGAGCAACGCCGCGUGAGUGAUGAAGGUCUUCGGAUCGUAAAACUCUGUUAUUAGGGAAGAACAAAUGUGUAAGUAACUAUGCACGUCUUGACGGUACCUAAUCAGAAAGCCACGGCUAACUACGUG
rnacentral:rRNA from 1 species